GAUGAACGCUAGCGGGAGGCCUAACACAUGCAAGCCGAGCGGUAGAGAUCUUUCGGGAUCUUGAGAGCGGCGUACGGGUGCGGAACACGUGUGCAACCUGCCUUUAUCUGGGGGAUAGCCUUUCGAAAGGAAGAUUAAUACCCCAUAAUAUGUUGGAUGGCAUCAUUCGACAUUGAGAACUCCGGUGGAUAGAGAUGGGCACGCGCAAGAUUAGAUAGUUGGUGAGGUAACGGCUCACCAAGUCUGCGAUCUUUAGGGGGCCUGAGAGGGUGAUCCCCCACACUGGUACUGAGACACGGACCAGACUCCUACGGGAGGCAGCAGUGAGGAAUAUUGGACGAUGGGUGAGAGCCUGAUCCAGCCAUCCCGCGUGAAGGACGACGGCCCUAUGGGUUGUAAACUUCUUUUGUAUAGGGAUAAACCUACUCUCGUGAGAGUAGCUGAAGGUACUAUACGAAUAAGCACCGGCUAACUCCGUGCCAGCAGCCGCGGUAAUACGGAGGGUGCAAGCGUUAUCCGGAUUUAUUGGGUUUAAGGGUCCGUAGGCGGAUCUGUAAGUCAGUGGUGAAAUCUCACAGCUUAACUGUGAAACUGCCAUUGAUACUGCAGGUCUUGAGUGUUGUUGAAGUAGCUGGAAUAAGUAGUGUAGCGGUGAAAUGCAUAGAUAUUACUUAGAACACCAAUUGCGAAGGCAGGUUACUAAGCAACAACUGACGCUGAUGGACGAAAGCGUGGGGAGCGAACAGGAUUAGAUACCCUGGUAGUCCACGCCGUAAACGAUGCUAACUCGUUUUUGGGCUUUCGGGUUCAGAGACUAAGCGAAAGUGAUAAGUUAGCCACCUGGGGAGUACGAACGCAAGUUUGAAACUCAAAGGAAUUGACGGGGGCCCGCACAAGCGGUGGAUUAUGUGGUUUAAUUCGAUGAUACGCGAGGAACCUUACCAAGGCUUAAAUGGGAAAUGACAGGUUUAGAAAUAGACUUUUCUUCGGACAUUUUUCAAGGUGCUGCAUGGUUGUCGUCAGCUCGUGCCGUGAGGUGUUAGGUUAAGUCCUGCAACGAGCGCAACCCCUGUCACUAGUUGCCAUCAUUAAGUUGGGGACUCUAGUGAGACUGCCUACGCAAGUAGAGAGGAAGGUGGGGAUGACGUCAAAUCAUCACGGCCCUUACGCCUUGGGCCACACACGUAAUACAAUGGCCGGUACAGAGGGCAGCUACACAGCGAUGUGAUGCAAAUCUCGAAAGCCGGUCUCAGUUCGGAUUGGAGUCUGCAACUCGACUCUAUGAAGCUGGAAUCGCUAGUAAUCGCGCAUCAGCCAUGGCGCGGUGAAUACGUUCCCGGGCCU
rnacentral:rRNA from 1 species